rnacentral:rRNA from 1 species
AAGGUUGACCUCGGAUCAGGUAGGAAUACCCGCUGAACUUAAGCAUAUCAAUAAGCGGAGGAAAGGGC